GUUGACUUAAAGGGUCGUUUAAACACAGCGACAAAUCAAACAACUUAUCAAGGUCAAUCGAGUUGUUGCAACUUAUCAUUGUGUGUAAACGGUGCAUCGCACAACUUAUCAAAGUUGGAGUUGGGUUGAAGGUGGUAUCGCAUUGAAUCGCAGCGUCUAAACAGCGUUUCAACUUGUCAUCACAACUAGUUGCUGUGACUUAUCGUUGUGUUUAAACGACGCUUAAGGAUCGUUUAAACACAGCGAUAAAUCAAACAACUUAUCAAGGUCAAUCGAGUUGUUGCAACUUAUCAUUGUGUGUAAACGGUGCAUCGCACGACUUAUCAAAGUUGGAGUUGGGUUGAGGUUGGUAUCGGAUUGCAUCAACUUAUCACAAGGA